rnacentral:tRNA from 1 species
GCCCUCAUCGUCUAGAGGCCAAGGACGCCAGCCUUUCAAGCUGGAGAUCAGGGGUUCGAAUCCCCUUGGGGGCA